ensembl:lncRNA
GUCCGACUCUUUGUGACCCCGUGGACUGUAGCCUGCCAGGUUCCUCUGUCCGUGGAAUUCUCCAGGCAAGCAUACUGGAGUGGGUUGUCAGGCCUUCCUCCAGGGGAUCUUCCUGACCCAGGGAUCAAACCUGUGUCUCUUUUGCCUCCUGUAUUGGCAGAUCCAGGCUAAAAUGAAGCACAGACAGAAAAUGUAUACUAUUGUGCUCCACUGAUGGUUGUUUUUAGAAGCUGUUGUUUAACAAAGACUCUGCUCAAGCAUGGAGGAUCUGUUAUGACAGUCAAACCUUAAUGAAGUCCUUCUGCUUCAUCACUUAUGAUGAGUUCUACUCUUUGGUGAUAUUAUCACUCCUAAACUGCUGUGUGUGACCUAUGGACAGAAUGGAAGCAUUCUUGACCUGGGUAUUGUCAUCUUUACAGGUUUUGGAUACUGGGAAAACCCUUCAGGAGCCCCGGACACAAGCUCUAAGAAGGAUGAAC